GGUGGAGUGAUUUGUCUGGUUUAUUCCGAUAACGAACGAGACUCUAACCUGCUAAAUAGCUGGUCGGUAGCUUAGCCGACACUAGCUUCUUAGAGGGAUCAGUGGUGUUUCAGCCACACGAAAUUGAGCAAUAACAGGUCUGUGAUGCCCUUAGAUGUUCGGGGCUGCACGCGCGCUACACUGGAAGGAUCAACAUGCGUUUCACCUCGCUCGAAAGGGCUUGGUAAUCCUUUGAAAACCUUCCGUGAUUGGGAUAGGGAAUUGCAAUUAUUUCCCUUCAACGAGGAAUUCCCAGUAAGUGUGAGUCAUCAGCUCACGUUGAAUACGUCCCUGCCCUUUGUAC
rnacentral:rRNA from 1 species